CUCCGCUCCGCCCCGCGCUGCGGCAGCGCGGGCAACGCGGGCGCGGCCCUGGCGGCGGAGCGGGGUGCGGGCGGUGGCAGCGGCACCCGCGGGUGGCGGGUUGGUGCGCCGAGAGACGCCGCCUCGGGAGAGACCCACGGGGGUGGCCUACGUUGGAAAAUGACUGAUCUGCUUCUGUAAAGAUCUCCAGAGAAAACCAGCAGGGUUUCUUGCAAGCUAUCUGCAAGGCACGUUAUGUUUUCAUCAGAAACUUGGGUCUUCAGCUAGUGAGGGAUGGUUCUUCACUCCAAGAAGAGUCUGGGAGAUGUCCUGCAUCAUCCACAGCCUGCUCCAUAUGAAGCUGAGGGGAGCUGCCAGACCUGUCUCACUACUCAGUGCACAGCGGCUGAGCCUGAAAGCAACACUCCAGGUGCCCCAGUACUCUGGUGCACAGCAGCAAGGGACACACAAAUGCAGCUUAUUACCAGCUCAGAGCACCGGGUUAGCCCCCAGCUAGACAAAGGCACUAAGACUCUAGGUCACCUCUGUAGCAGAUGGAUGUGAGCAUGGACCACACAGAGUUAACACAGGGAAACAGUCCAACUCAUUGAGUCCAACCUUAAAGGCAAAAUGCUGGAAUUUCAGUAAUUCAGUCUCAAAUAUUUGAUGGUGCCACCAAAUAAUUUUUGGCUCCUGAAGUUUUAAAACUGCAUCACAAACCUCUUGCUCACCUGAAGUGACACAAACAAGUUCAAUAGUACAAAGUACAAAGUCAUGUGCUGAGGGGCCAAUGAUAAGGAAUUUUUACGUAAGUCUGGAAGAGAUAAAGAAAGAAGAGUGUGUUGGUAGAAGGGAUACAAGGAUGUCUAGCAGAGUAAUGGAGCUUUAAAAAAAAGGCUAAUAUGACUGAAGAUGGUGCUCGGUGAGGUACUUUUAGUAAAAGUGGGGAAGUAUUGGAACCUUUGUAUAAGAUGAUGAUAAAAUCACAUUUGGAUCCCAGAACAAUACGCUCUCAUCUUUGAUGCUUGCUAAACACUUUUGCUUUGACUCGGGUCAAUCCUUUCUUUACCUUCAUGUUCCCUUCACUCUCACCAUAUUCUCUUAUUUACCUCUUUAGAGCAUGCAGCCGUAAGAAAGGUGAAUUGCAAUACAUUAACAGGUCAUGAACUCUUCCUCCUUUUUCCUAAGAUCUUAAAAUCAGCAUUGUCAUCACAAUAGUGAGAGGCACGAUUUAGCUUCCUGUUUCUCAGUGCCAAUUAUAAAUACCAAGAUACUACAGAAGAAGUUCAAGAGAGAUGAUAAAAGAUUAGAGAAGAUAAAUUCUUUAAAAAAUAAUUAGUUGCCAAAUUACUGGCAAUGGCUGGGUGCCUUAAAAGUGAAGAAUGUGAAUUCAUACAGACUGCCAUAGACUAUUGCCAGGAGCUGUGAUCAAGUCCUCACACCCUGAUCUUUGAGAAGCUGCUGCUGCCACCAGCUGGUAGUUCAUUGGUCCAUGGCUGGAGACAUGAAUACUUGGUUUAAUCGAAGAAGUCCCAGGAAGACAGGUAUGCCCUGAAGGAGGUCACAUCUGCAGAAAGUUACAGAAAUAUUGCUCCAGCCCAAAGCACAUUUUGGAAUUUGACGAAAGACCUGUACUAUGUUAACAGGACCAACCAAAGAUAGCAUUCACAGCAGUUAUCCAUGGGUACAGCUAGAACAGCAAGUGUACUAAAUUCACAGCAUUGGUCUGCAACUCUGGUCCUUUUUAUUAUUAGAUGACAGUCAGGUGCUUCACCACUUAAGUUCCAGAAGUACAUUUUGGGGUGGCAGCUCCUUUGUUCUCCAGAAGUAGAAAUGGUGGUUCCUUGCAUGCUUCACUGCUGCUUCUGCAGAGACAAUGUAAUGAGGAAUCUAGCGAGCACUGUGUUAUAUACCAUGCAAAGAGCAAAUGAUUUGCUGCCCUGUGGCUGCAGUCAUGGAUGCUGUAAGAAAAGGGCUUUUGCCCCAGCUAUGGGAUCAGUGCAGGUCAGUGGUCCUUUCCUGCCCACUCUGUAUACGUGAAGAUGCACACAGAGAUUGUGGAUUAUCAGCAGUUGUAUACAUAGUUGUAGAUCGGUUGCUGAGUUUGUCAUUAGCAAGCCAAAAAAUGGAGGCUUCUCUCUAUUAGGUUUAGCAACAUCAUGCAAUUUCUUCUGCAGUGUCUUCUGCAAGAGGACAGUAGGAGCAAACCUACUUGAGUUCUGGAAGCACCAGAAGGUACCACAGUCACUGGGCCGCUCUGCACUUCACAAGAUGUUUGCCAGGACUGAAAUGGCUGUAUUACAGGGCAAAUCUCAGCGGGCUGUGUCAUAUGUGGUUGUUCCUGUGAAAGCUAAGAUGUUGUAAUUAAUGAUAGAAGAAAUCAGUAACUUCUUUGGUUUUUAAAGAAUACUACUUUAUCUGGAUAUCCGAGACACAAUGGAUGGACCCCAGACAUCCUUGUUUCCAGACUAAGAUAUGGGUUUAGAAAUAGAAAAUCUUAUUGGGUUUAAGACGUGCCUUCAUAGCAGAUUAAAUUAGGUCUGUUGUAGACCUAAACCACAAAUACACCAGUGGUGAUGCACAGUGCUUGUUCUAAACACAACCACUGAGUCAUAGCUGGCUGUCACAGCAGAAUCAUAUGCAACACUACUGCCUUCACAUUUUGCCUGACUUAUGGUGCCUGAACUUACUGAAACUGUACCCCAGAAAGACUGCUGGGACAGCAUGGCCACUAGGCAUUCCUUAGAGGGGUGAAGAUGGCAGUGUUCUGAGGUUUUGUGUGAAGACCUCUGUUGGGGAGCAGAAAGGAAGCAGUAAGCAUGGAGAAGAGCCAAGCUACAUGGUCUGUGAGAUGGUCAUCACAAGAGAGGGCUUUUCCUUCUCUGUCUUUUCAGCCUUCACAGUACAGAGAGCCGUCUGAGAGCCUGUGCUACUAUUGCAGCUGCCCUCUUGGAAACCGAGGGACACUGAAUGACCAUGAAAGCGGUGGUUUUAUAAUAAGGUGUUAAGGGUGUACAUGGUAUAACCUGAGCCAGGGCUUGUGGAGACAUCCAGGGACACAAGGCCUUUUGGGAUAGAGUUGGACUAGUAGGCUGAGCAAUGCAAAUCUGACAGAAUCUCAUCCAUACAGUUUGGAAAAAGAGGACCCCAGAGCAAUCCCUUAUGCCAGACUUCACCUGGAAUUUGUCUCACUCAGGCUGGCCCAAUCACUCCAAAAUCACUUUUGGGGACAAUGUGGCAGACCAGAUGAUCUGCUCCCAGGGUCACUCCAAAACAGGAUUUUAUUUGGCAAUAUUGCCAGCAGAGUUCCCCAGGGGACUGCCACUGGCAUAAUUUAAUAGUUUUAUUGACGAUCUGGAGGUAGAUAUGAAAUUACAAAUAAGAGUGUACAGAAAGGCCAGUGAAGUGAUAAAUGGUGCGGAGGCAGACUAAAUUGAAUAGUUGUGUUUGUAAAAUAAAUGCAUUUUAAUAAAAACAAUUUGCAAAGUCAUCUUCACUAGGAGGAAAUCAUGCAAGUUCAUGUAACUGGAGACUAUAUUUCCUAUAGCGACGAACUUUAAAGGAAAUUAGGGGUUGUAAUGUACUGGAUCAGCACAGCUUUCUGUGGAAUCUCAUGGCAAAGAGGAAUUCUGCAGUCCUGCAGUGCAUCAACAGGAAAGGAUGCAAGAAGAGGGACCAAUACUUCUGCAGAGAUCAAAUUCAGAUUUUGAUGUGCAGGUUGUCCUCUCUUUUCUGAUGAUAUUUUAAAAGUAGAAACACUGAAAAAGCUGAAAGUCAUUAAAGACAAUUACAUAAAGUGUUCAGUGUGCUUAAUUUAUUAUAUAGAAGUCUGAGAGAUGCUUCAAUUAUUUUAUUAAAGAACAUAAUAGAUACCUGAGAACAAAAAUAACUAGACAAUAAAGCAUUUCUUCAUCAGGUAGACGAAAGUGUGGAAAGAAUCAAUAGCUAUAAAUUAGAGUCUUCCUCAGGUGACUUCUUUAAGUAAAAUGUAUUUGAAGACUGGAUGCUGGACAUGAACAGCAAAGUCUAUUUCCAGCAAUGCAGGCAGAUUGUAAAGAGGAAGGGAAAUGAACGCACGAGAGUGUGAAGAAUGAGUUUAAAAUUGAAGAGUUACUUGAACCACCUCCAAAAGAAUAAUGGAAAGAGAGUCUUUAGCUCAGUGCCUGAAUGCCUGCCUGUCUCAUAGUGCCUUUCAGGAAGGAAUGCCUGCUUAGAUUUAUACAUAUAUACAUAUAUAUUUAUGCUUGCUGAUUCUAGCCUCUCCUGCAGGACAUCUGUGCAAACCCCAAGACUAUUCCCAGCCCCAAGGACACGGUGCCAGUAGCUGCACACUGGCUGCAACCAUGGCUCUGCACAACUUGGUUGUUUAAAUGCUUUUUGCCACAGAGUAUAACUGUGAAUGCUAAGUGAUUUUUCUGAUUUUCUGUUUUGUACUGGCUUGAACCCACGUGGGCAUUACUUCUUGUACACCAUGAAUAAUAGAUCUACCUUAGAAAAAUGAAGAGUGACAGGGAAGGGCACAAACACAGGAACAAAGGCAUCCAUGUCGUUUAACUGUUACAAAGGUACCCAGCCAGCUUUUUCACCUGGACAACCAAUAUUCUUCCAGAAUUGCUUUCAGGUACAUUUCAGGAGUUUGAAUACAAACAAGAGCUGCUCUAUGCCAGUGGGACUCAGUGCUGAAGAAUGGUCCAGGUCCAUUUCAUUUGCUAGCACACAUCUGGUCUGGGAGUCUUAGUAAAUCUUACUGCCCAGGAUUUUCCUACACCUUCUUUCCUGCAUCUCUGGUAAUGAAAAAAGUAUCAGUUUUAAAUACAGUGCACUAGUUAUUCUGAGUUACAGAAAAAAAAAAAAGGCAGCAAUAGGCAAAUCAUCCUCACUUGUUGGUAUUAUAUAAUGAAAAGAAUAGUUUUGUAAGAGUGCAAUAUCUAUACAUAUUUCUCACACCCAUGGGAAAAAAAAAUCACAUGAAGCUACUUGAGAAAUAUUGAAAGCAGCUCUGCAUUUCAGAAGAAUAGAUCUUAAUUUUGCUUUAAAUGACAUAUGGCAGCAAUAUGGAUGUAAUAUAAACUAAGUCUGAUGAAUAAGAUUAAUACUCCAAGGGAAAAAAUAAAACAACAGAUAAUUAUCUUGAUUUCUCAGCAUAUUUGAAAAACAAAAUUAAGAGUGAUAAUUUAUGGGAUAUUAAGAGUACCAUGACAUAAAAAUUUUCAGUAUUGCAGAUGUAGAUGAAUUGUCAUUACACUGUGGAAAUAAUAUUCCUGUCCUGAAACAUAUAUAUGUCUUUUGCUGUGUCUUGCUGAUGUCCUUGGGGAGUUGUGAGAACAGACUGUCAUCUAAUAUCCUUUACCAUCAACAGAAAGUCUUAUGGGGCUCAGUUAUCUUUGGAUCAGGUCCCAGAACAUCUCAAGAUCUGCGGGACUGGCAAGAACAAAAUCACUGCAUGAACAAAAUCCUGAUCCUGCUGCUUCUUAGAUAAAUAAACUUAGAUGAUUUCAGUAAGACUGAGAUCCAGCCAUGAUGCACAAAUGCAUCAUCCUGCUAAUUUGUGGUAAGAUGUGUAUUAUUUCAAGUCAUUAAUGAGC